rnacentral:rRNA from 1 species
AGUUACUGCUAUCGGUGUUCGCCUAAGCCAUGCGAGUCAUAUGUUCUUCGUGAACAUGGCGUACUGCUCAGUGACACGUGGAUAACCUGCCCUUGGGACCGGCAUAACCCCGGGAAACUGGGGAUAAUUCCGGAUACCGCAUAUAUGCUGGAAUGCUUUAUGCGUAAAAUGGAUUCGUCUGCCCAAGGAUGGGUCUGCGGCCUAUCAGGUAGUAGUGGGUGUAAUGUACCUACUAGCCAACGACGGGUACGGGUUGUGAGAGCAAGAGCCCGGAGAUGGAUUCUGAGACAUGAAUCCAGGCCCUACGGGGCGCAGCAGGCGCGAAAACUUUACAAUGCGGGAAACCGUGAUAAGGGGACACCGAGUGCCAGCAACAUUUGCUGGCUGUCCGGGUGUUUAGACUACACCCGUUAGCAAGGWCCGGGCAAGACCGGUGCCAGCCGCCGCGGUAACACCGGCGGCCCGAGUGGUGAUCGUGAUUAUUGGGUCUAAAGGGUCCGUAGCCGGUUUGGUCAGUCCUCCGGGAAAUCUGACGGCUUAACCGUUAGGCUUUCGGGGGAUACUNCCAGGCUUGGAACCGGGAGAGGUAAGAGGUACUNCAGGGGUAGGAGUGAAAUCUUGUAAUCCCUGUGGGACCACCUGUGGCGAAGGCGUCUUACCAGAACGGGUUCGACGGUGAGGGACGAAAGCUGGGGNCACGAACCGGAUUAGAUACCCGGGUAGUCCCACCCGUAAACGAUNCUCGCUAGGUGUCAGNCAUGGCGCGACCGUGUCUGGUNCCNCAGGGAANCCGUGAAGCGANCCNCCUGGGAAGUACGNCCNCAAGGCUGAAACUUAAAGGAAUUGNCGGGGGANCACAACAACGGGUGGANCCUNCGGUUU